ACUCAAAUGAAUUGACGGGGGCCCGCACAAGCGGUGGAGCAUGUUGUUUAAUACGUCACUAACCGUAGAACCUUACCAGGUCUUGACAUCUUCGGAACCCGGCUGAAAGGCCGGGGUGCCCUUCGGGGAGCCGAAAGACAGGUGUUGCAUGGCUGUCGUCAGCUCGUGUCGUGAGAUGUUGGGUUAAGUCCCGCAACGAGCGCAACCCUCAUCCUGUGUUGCUACCGGGUCAAGCCGGGCACUCUCAGGAAACUGCCCGUGCAAGCGGGAGGAAGGUGGGGAUGACGUCAAGUCAGCAUGGCCCUUACGACCUGGGCUACAAACAUGCUACAAUGGCGCGUACAGAGGGCAGCGAUACCGCGAGGUGGAGCCAAUCCCAAAAAGCGCGUCCCAGUUCGGAUCGGAGUCUGCAACUCGACUCCGUGAAGUCGGAAUCGCUAGUAACCGCAGGUCAGCGAUACUGCGGUGAAUACGUUCCCGGGCCUUGUACACACCGCCCGU
rnacentral:rRNA from 1 species